CCAAAUUGUUCACUAACAUAUUCAAAAACAUUCAUUAUAAAAAGGUCCUAUACAUGCCAUUUAUAACCUUGGCCAAAAUAACUCAACAACUACCGAAGUGGUUGCUAGAUAGUGUGAUAGAUCUUCGACAAACUUUCAACCGAUCAAGCUUCUGAUAAUCUACGAAACAAAAGAAAAUAACUACGUAAGCAACUAGUGCUUAGUAAGCUCGUAUAAACUCAAACAUAACUUACCAUUCUUAAGCUCAAUUUAUAAAAUGUGCAUAACAUCUUUACUAUACUCAUAAGCUUAAUACAAUCCUAUAAGCAUCACCAAACUCACAAAUUAGUAGGCUCAUGUAUAAUGCAUAUAGAAAAUCAACCAUUUCACAAAUGAAUCUUCAUGAACAUAACAUUCAUCACAUAAUCAUAUAGUUCCAUUCAAUUCACUUGCAUUCAUCCAAAUUUACCUUUCAUAAAUUUAUGAGCAAUUAUCCAUUUAAACACAUGCCUUGCCAAUUACCUUUACUUACCCGUUGAACCAUCUAGAAUUACAUCGGAUACUUAAGAAUGCUCACACAUAGUGUGCCUUCCCAUAUAACUAUAACCUUUCUUUUUCAAUAGUGCUCACACGAGCUAUGAAAUGGGCCUGUUCACACGAGUUGUGUGUUGGAAUGGUAGCUACACGAUGCUGCUCACACGAGCUAUGGAGAAUCCGCAAUAAAUGCAAGACCUUAGCCAUUGGUAAGGCAUUCAAGACCAACACCUGAAACACGAAAUCCCUAAUAACAUGUCAUUCAUAUCCUAAAAAUUCUUAAGGUUCAAAUGAGAUUAUUUAUCCAUCAAUUACUCAAAGCAUCGAUAUAUAUCCAUUUUCAAGUCAGUUUAUAACUAACACAACAUGACCGAUAAACAAUCAAACCAUCAUUAAUAAUAUUAUAAUUUAUACAAACUUACCUCGACAACUAUGGUUGCAAUAACAGAGUUGAACUCUAGUCUAAAGCUUUAGUUUUUCCUCUAUUUAAGUCCGGUUGUUAUUUAUCUUGAUCUAAAUAAAUAGUUUCAUUCAAUUAAGUACUUCAAUUAACCUCAAGUAUUCAACACAAUUUAUAAUUCAUAUUAUUAUAAAAUUACAAAGUUACCCCUCUCAUUUUAACUUUUCACAAAUUAGUCUUUAAGCUCGUAACUUAAAAUUUAACCAUUUUAACCUAAACCCAUGUUAACUGAUUCUACUAGGGAUCUUGAACAACCCAUAAUUACCAACAUUUCACAUUAAAACCAAUGGAUUUUCACUUUCAAUAAUUUAAUCCCUAAUCUCAAAUUAUCAAAAACUAUUUAACAAAACAAGUUUGUUUGACAACCAAGAUUAAUAAUCUAUCAACUAACAUCAAAACACAUUCAAACUCAACUAUGGAAAGUCCCUCAACCUUUAACAAUUUUGCAAAUUAACCACCCGAGUUAAGUAGUUUAAGCUAAAACGAGCUCAAAAACAUAAAAAUCAAUAAAAACGAGGCUUAAUUACAUACCAUGCAAGGUGAAACACCAUGACCGAAAGCUUCUCCCCCUUUCUAAUGGCUAAUCGGUUUUGAAACAAUCAAAUAAAGAAGAUUAUGAUUUUAACUUAAUUAAUUUUAUGUUUAUUUACUAAUUUACCAUCUUACCCUUGUUAUUAAUUAAAAACUUCAAUUAAACCUUUUCCAUAACUAUCCACUAACUUAAUUAUGGCAUAAUUACCAUCUAAGUUCAUUAACUAUCCCUUCCAUAGCCAUUUAAUCAUUUUAACUAAUAUAACUCAACUUUUAUACAUUUUUCAAUUUAGUCUUUUUUACCUAAUUAACCAAUUAAACUUCAAAAUUUCUUAAUGAAAAUUUAAUACUACUUUAAAUCAACCUUAUAGACAUUAAAUAAAUAUUAAAAUAUUAACUUAGUUGUCAGAGUCAUGGUUUCGAAACCAUUAUUUCUGACACCACUAAAAAUGGGUUGUUACAAACGUCACCCUUCCUACCAAAGAUAACAUUUUAGCAUCUUGAUUAUCAAGAUUUCGCCGAAAUUUAUCCACCACAAAAUUGAAAGUACUCUAUGUCACCCUACAAUGAAAUAGUGGCAUUCCCAAGUAGGUUCCUAAAUCAUCUGUUUUAGCAUAGCCAAGAACCCUAAAAAUAUCAUCAACUAUAGAAAGAUUAGUGUUUUUGGAGAAAAAUACCUCUGCCUUUUUAGAAUUAACAUUGUGACUCGAUGCACUACCAAAAAUAUCCAUAACCUUCUUAAUUAUACGAGCUUGAGACACAUUUGCUUUUGCGAAAAGGAAUAAAUCAUCAGCAAAGAAAAUGUGUGAAAUAGCUGGCCCAUUCUUGACAACUAAAAUUGGCAUCCAAGCAUUCUCCUUAACCUUCCUAUGAAUCAUUUGGCAAAAUCUUUCCAUACAGAAGACAAACAAAUAAGGGGAAAGGGGGCAACCUUAUCGAAUACCUCUCUUCGAAACAAACUUCUUAGAAAAACCCCCGUUCCAAAUUAUUUGCAUCGAAACAGAAGAAACACAAUCCAUAAUAAUCCGAGAAAGCGAAGAAGGAAUACUUGAAUCAAACAACGUAUCCUCAAUGAAAUACCAGCUGAGUUUGUCAUAUGCCUUAUUUAGAUCAACCUUUAUGGCUAUCCUCCCAUUUUUUUCCUUUUUUUUUAUCCUCAUCGAAUGUAUUAUUUUUUGAGCAAUUACUAUGUUAUCCGUAAUAUGCCUCCCUGCUACAAAGCUUACUUGGGUUUGCACAUUGAGCAUAGGAAAAAUAGUCUCCAAAUCUAUUGGCAAUGAUCUUCGAAAAUAGCUUAUUUAAAACAUUACAUAAGCUGAUGGGGCAAAAUUGUGAUAGAGUUUUUGGGCUUUGCACUUUCGGAAUAAGCAACAAGAGAGUACAUUUGAUAGCUUGAUCAAUUGAUUUACCACCAAAGAUUCCCCUAACCUAAGAGCAAAUAUCUUGACCUAUAGUCUCCCACUGAUUUUGAUAGAAAAAGCAUGGAAACCAUCCGGUCAAGAGCCUUCAAUGGACCCAUACUGAACAGAGCACAUCUAAUUUCAUCAUUAGAAACAUCAUUACCCAAAAAAUCCAAGUUAAUCGAAUCAAUCACAGGAAAGGGCUUAUGUAAGGGAAAAGUAGCAUACCUAUCAUCAUUAAAAGAAUAGAGGGAACUAAAAAAGAAACAACUUCACUUUAAAGGAUACUGUCAACAAAACGCCAAUCCUCAUUAACUUUUAAAGUUGAAAUUCUAUUGGAAUUUCUCCUCCUUAAUGCUUUAUUAUGGAAGAAUUUCGUGUUACGAUCACCAUGUUGAAACCAAUCCACUCUUGAUUUUUGCCUCCAUAGUGAUUCUUCAUCAUCAAGGGUCUUUUCAUACUCAAUACUCAAAUCCAAAUCCACAUCCAAAAGGAAUUUCAGACACCUCCUAUCUAACGCUGCUUGGAUAUUCCCAAUACAAUGAGCAAUAUCUCGUUUUUGUUUCCUAAUAUAACCGUAAACAUCUUUGUUCCAUCUCCUAAGGUCUGAAGUAAGGGAGUUUAAAGAAGCUGAUAAGUCUGGUCCUUAUUUCCACCUUUCUUGGAUAAGUAGAUUAAAGGAAGGGUGGGAAACCCAUGAAGACAAAAACCUGAAGGGCCCAAUUGAUCUAGGCAUAAUGGUUGACUCUUUAGAAGUCAAAAGUGGCCUAUGGUUUGACUUCAACCGAGUAAGAUAGUACACCACAAUAGCUAAAAAAAGCCAGAACCAUUCAAAAUUAUCGAUCGCCCUACCAAGUCUUUCAAAGAUAGACCCUCUACGCCAUGUGAAUUGAGGUCCCUUGAAUCCAAGAUCCCUUAAUGCAUUCAACUGAAUAAAAUCCUGAAAUAAUUUACAACCAAAAAUAGCUGGACGACCACCUCUUUUCUCAUCCGGUGAUAGAAAAGCGUUAAAAUCUCCUAUCAACAUCCAAGGGCCAUUGACAGAUUAACCAAUACUAUUUAAGAGAUUCCACAAAACUGAACGCUUCUAUUUAUCUGGGCUCCCAUAAACAAAGGUAACAAGCAAGGCCUGAACCCCCACAUUCUUCCUAACUCUACAGUGAACAAAUUGAGAGUCAUAUUGAAGAAUUUGAACUUCAAGACAAAUUUUCCAAACUAUCCAAAUACCACCCGAGUAACCUCGAGAUUCAACUCUAUAAGAGAAAUCAAAAUUAAGAUUAGAAAUAAUCCUAUCCACUUUAACAGCACUUAACCUUGUCUUAAGAAAAGAAGCUAUGUCAACAUCAUAUUUGUUGAAAUAGUCUUUGACAACCCUUAAAAAUUUUGGGUUUGCAUAGCCUUGACAGUUCUAAACAAAGAAACUUGGUAAAAUCAUAAAAAAGAGAAGAUUUUAAACUGAACCAAACUGACCUCAAACAGAUGCUAUAUCCAUACUAUCGGUUCCCGUUGAAACACUAUCAGCCAUGCCAUUCGUAGACAAAGAAUCAUCUACCCCAAGUGUCUCAACUAUUUUAUUCAUAGCUUCCAGUAAAGGAACAUGGGCUAGCCCUGUACUUUGAGCUUACCUUUUUUUCCCCAAAGAAUGUUAAAGAGGUUUUUUGACAUGUUUGAAACUCCACUCUGAUGGAUUGCUGCGCACAGAAGCGAGAACAUUUACUUCUAUCGACGAACCGAAAACUAACAUUGUAUUAGUGGAAAGAUUCAGGUGUUUAUUCUCAACAAAAGCAACCACUUAAUGUUUCAAAAUGUUAAAAGUGUAGAAUUCAUUGGUUUUUCCAUAAAAAAGUUUAGUACCCUCAAACCCCUGCUUUACCACCAACUGUGAAAGGUUAACAGUUGUCGACAAGCCUAGCACCCCCAAUUGAGGACAAGACUCAUUGUUAGGAGAAACAACCAGGCCUGGAGAUUCUAACCUA
rnacentral:lncRNA from 1 species